rnacentral:rRNA from 1 species
UGGGGAAUUUUGGACGAAUUGGGCGAAAGCCUGAUCCAGCAAUGCCGCGUGUGUGAAGAAGGCCUUCGGGUUGUAAAGCACUUUUGUCCGGAAAGAAAUCCUUGGCUCUAAUACAGUCGGGGGAUGACGGUACCGGAAGAAUAAGCACCGGCUAACUACGUGCCAGCAGCCGCGGUAAUACGUAGGGUGCAAGCGUUAAUCGGAAUUACUGGGCGUAAAGCGUGCGCAGGCGGUUUGCUAAGACCGAUGUGAAAUCCCCGGGCUCAACCUGGGAACUGCAUUGGUGACUGGCAGGCUAGAGUACGGCAGAGGGGGGUAGAAUUCCACGUGUAGCAGUGAAAUGCGUAGAGAUGUGGAGGAAUACCGAUGGCGAAGGCAGCCCCCUGGGCCAAUACUGACGCUCAUGCACGAAAGCGUGGGGGAGCAAAC